GUUACAGCCAUCAGAACCACUACUGCUUUAAUAGACACUGAAACGAGCCUACUAGCCAAAGAGUGGGAGAAUAAUCAGGACCGGGGGAGAGUGAGAAAGUUGAGUGCUGGAAUGGCAGAUUAUGGCUGGAAGUCCUGAAGCCAGGUGGUAGCCGUGACACCACCACUUCUCCCAGCUUCGGUUUAUUCAUCCGUAAAACUAGGGCACGAGGGGCCACUCUGAGCUGCUUGGAAUUACACCACUGAAAUAACUGGAGAGGCGAACUCAGCUGCCUGACCGAGGAAACAGUGUCCCAGGCUUGGAAGAAAGCGAAACGAACCCCGGAGAACCGCGGCACCGACUACCCACCGCCCCUCUCCCGGCCAGGCCGGAGAUGCUGAAUCACUGCCGGAAUCCUCCCGUUGGCGGGGGUUCCCAUAGCCCCUAGCCCCGGGCCACUCUGAGAAUGACAGGACGGGGGGCUCGCCAUUCCCCCCGCCCGCGGACCUCAGCCCCAAAACUGCCCACGCUCGGAAUCCAACGCACCAUGGUUCCGGCGCGGAUCUGGCUGCGGCCUCCUGCAGAGGUGCGGAAUCAGAAAGGUUGCCGAAACUACCGCUCGACAAUCUACAGAGAAGCCUUCGGGAUUUUGACGAAGGCGGCGCAGGGCAAGGCAGUCUAUCCCAGAGAUAUCGAUAGAACCCGCGCUUCCCCGCCCUCAAGGCUCGCCGCCUCUCCAAAGUGGGCGGGGCUCAGGAAGAAGGAGGAGUUGAGAUUGGCGGGAAAUCUUGGAUUCCCGCCAAGUCCUCACCGGCCCGACCGAUACACCUGAAAUCGAUCGAGACAACACCUGCGACUCCAGGUGAUCCAGUGUGCCGCUGGACAUCUUUCGUUCAGGGUCCACAGAGAUUUGGGGUGUUGUGUGACUGGGAGAAGGACGAGGCUAUAAGAAAGGCCACAAAAUAAUGUGCCUGAGAGUUCCACUUUCUGACUUCACCAGCACUGGAUAGGGUGGCAAUUAAUGCCUUGGAGAGGAAAAAGUCUGCCCGGCCCCCCACCCACUCCUUCCCCACCCAGAAAGAUAUGUGCGUUUUCUCUUCCUUAAGGCCUCCUCCCGGAGUGGCUCAGCUAGCCAAUUGGCAUCAGAAGAGCACCGUUUGGAAGGGAGUGUGUGUGGGCAGCCUGCAGGGCCAAACAGCCAUGGAGAGCUCCCGGCGGGCCCAGGAAGGAGACAGAGAUUGGCUGCCCUCCAGUUGAGCUGGCUCAUGAGAAGUUCAGCUUCCUUGUCCUCUCACAGACAGUCCCUUCCGUGCUGACCUUUGACUAGCCUGCAGGGCUCUCGUGCCCUAACCCUGCUGCCUCUUUGCCCAUGCUCUUCCUCUUGCCCACACUGUUGGUACUUCUUGGAAGAGGGAAAAAGCCUGAGGAAGAAGGGCUGGGGAGAGGAAAAGUGAAAGUCUUAACUCUUGAGCCUCUAAGGAUUUUCUUUCCGUCCUUGAUAGGAGAGAUACUGUUAAUUUAAAAGGAUGUCAACAUAUGACAUGUGAAAUUUGCAAAAAUAUGGAGAAUUUAGCGUACUCUAUGUAUUAGGGUAAUUUACAAGCCUCAGAAGAACAUGCUAGCCCUUCUGCAAAUAUCCCAUAGUCUUUUUUAAAUUCUGUAUUUAAUCAAACUUUUUGCAGACAGUUUGCUUCCUUUUUGUAAUUAUUAUCAGUAGUUCUGUUGUAGGGGAAUAGAUUUAAGGAAAAAUUGCAGUGCAUAUAGACCAUGAUCAAGUAGGUUAUAAGUUUUAAUGCUAAAGACUUUGAAAAUGCAAAUGAUUUUUUCAUAAUUAUUUGAUUAAUUUUGAAAGAGACCCAAACAAUAUGUAACACCUUCUAUACUGUGUUUAAUAUUUAAGAAAGAAGUAAAUUAUAUGGAGCAACAAUUGUAACAAUUGUAACAAUUGUAAAAUUACCUUUAUCAUUGCAAAAGU